CACCAGCGCCUCGAGUGGGGAUCGCGAUUAUUGGGUCUAAAGCGUCCGUAGCAGGUCUUGUAAAUGCUUUGUGAAAUCGGCAGGCAUAACCUGUCGGCGUGCAGAGUAGACUGCAGGACUCGAGACCGGGAGAGGUUAGAAGUAUUCCUUGGGUACCGGUAAAAUGGGUUAAUCCAGGGAGGACUACCUAUGGCGAAGGCAUCUGACCAGAACGGUUCUGACUGUGAGGGACGAAAGCUAGGGGA
rnacentral:rRNA from 1 species